rnacentral:rRNA from 1 species
UACGGGGGGGGCAAGCGUUGUUCGGAAUUACUGGGCGUAAAGGGUUCGUAGGCGGUGCGGCAAGUUGGGAGUGAAAUCUCUGGGCUUAACCCAGAGGCUGCUUCCAAAACUGCUGUGCUUGAGUGUGGGAGAGGCGCGUGGAAUUGCAGGUGUAGCGGUGAAAUGCGUAGAUAUCUGGAGGAACACCGGUGGCAAAGGCGGCAUCCUGGACCGGGCAUUGACGCUGAGGAGCGAAAGCCAGAGGAGCAAACGGG